rnacentral:rRNA from 1 species
UGGGGAAUAUUGCACAAUGGGGGAAACCCUGAUGCAGCGACGCCGCGUGAGCGAUGAAGGCUUUCGAGUCGUAAAGCUCUGUCCUAUGGGAAGAUAAUGACGGUACCAUAGAAGAAAGCCCCGGCUAAUUACGUGCCAGCAGCCGCGGUAAUACGUAAGGGGCGAGCGUUGUCCGGAAUUAUUGGGCGUAAAGAGUGCGUAGGCGGCAAAUUAAGUCAGAUGUGAAAACUAAGGGCUCAACCCAUAGAUUGCAUCUGAAACUGAUAUGCUUGAGUCAAGGAGAGGAAAGUGGAAUUCCUAGUGUAGCGGUGGAAUGCGUAGAUAUUAGGAGGAAUACCGGUGGCGAAGGCGACUUUCUGGACUUUUACUGACGCUCAGGUACGAAAGCGUGGGUAGCAAACAGG